rnacentral:lncRNA from 1 species
AAUUGCAACAUGUAAUCUUUUAUUGCCUCAUACAGUGCAGCUUUAGAAAUAGCCCACAUACCUUAUCAAACUGUGGCUCUGAUCUGUUCCCACAGAACAGGAGCCAUGAUGCUUUUACUCGAGAAAGGUAAAACAAGGUGUAUAACACCUUACUUUUGGUUAUCUGGGAAUGUCAACACCUCAUUUGUUACUUGGAAAUGUUAUUCCAGUUUUUUUUUCUGGAUGCUGGGAUUAUAAAAUUAUGUGUUUAAAAAAAUUUUGCUGUGUCUUUUAAAUCAGAGUUUUGAAAAAUUUAGAGCAAUGUGGCAUUUAUAACACUAUUUGGAGCUU